ACGAACGCUGGCGGCAGGCCUAACACAUGCAAGUCGAGCGCUACCUUCGGGUGGAGCGGCGGACGGGUUAGUAACGCGUGGGAAUAUACCCAGUUCUAAGGAAUAGCCACUGGAAACGGUGAGUAAUACCUUAUACGCCCUUCGGGGGAAAGGUCAGCCGCUAAAAGAGGGGCCCGCGUCUGAUUAGCUUGUUGGUAAGGUAAUGGCUUACCAAGGCUACGAUCAGUAGCUGGUCUGAGAGGAUGAUCAGCCACACUGGGACUGAGACACGGCCCAAACUCCUACGGGAGGCAGCAGUGGGGAAUCUUGC
rnacentral:rRNA from 1 species